GGUUGUAGCUAAGUGGUAAAGAGUUUGCCUAGCAUGUAUGAGACACUGGGUUCGAUUCUCAGCACCA
rnacentral:tRNA from 1 species